AUGUGCCUUAGCCAUGCCUUCCAGGAGAAACUGCUCCAAGAUUUUGCCAGGCACAGAGGUGAGACUGACUGUUACUUUUUUUGGUUGAAAGAGACCUUGUUCCUGGCUCUUGCCAUUCUGACAAAGAGGAGCAUACAGCUCGGCAUCGCUACAGGCUUUCUGGUCCCUCCAGUUCUGGUUCCCAAUGUGGAUGAUGCAGAGAAGCUGGCCUACCACAUCAGCAUCAUGUUCUUCAUGACUGCAGGUGUAGCAACAGCCCUAUUCAUCCUGGUCGUCAUAGGUAAGGAGGUGGCAUAAUGAAACUAGGUGGGACUGAGAAGAUCAGCCUGUGUGUGAGCAGCCUGUGUGCUAGGAAAUGGGCUGGGGAGGUCAUCUGGGGAUGUGUCCUAGUGCACAGCUGACAGGGUUGUACAAUACCGUAUCUUGCCACUUCAAGCCCUUGAUGAACAGCACAUGUAGAAGGGAGUACAAGAAGUUCUGAGUGCACCUGCCAAAUUGUUAAAUUUGUCCUUUGCCUGCAUAAUAAAACCCUGGCAUGUGUUAAGUCCUUUGAAAGCUAACAGAAAUCUUCUGAGGUUCACAGAUCAUCUUGCCUGAAAACAGGAUGCUGGGACUUGGGUUUGUGUCUUGGACCUAAGUACCUCUAAAGGGAAGGAAGGAAGAGUCAGGUUAUAUGUUAUCACUGGAACAAGCUGUUCCCAGGAGAAAAAAAGGUAACCAGUUGUGAGUGGAGAGAAGGAGGCAUUAAGAGCAGUAUCAGGACACCAGAGGUGCAACUCACCUGCUUAACAUGUGACAUGGAAGCCAAAACUUUGGCAUGAAAGACUGGCACUCUCACUGGAGAGCAGAACUUGUCUGAUAAAAUCCAUGUUUUGGGCUGUUUUAGGCUUCUCCUGCCAGCUUGUUCCUGUUGCCUGGUGGCUGAAUCAGAUAUAGGCUUUAAAGAAUCUGGGGCACGGAAUAGGCAAGGUACAAAAAUGGCUGUCUAGCCCCUGGUACAGCAGUAUGACCCAUGACUGGGAUUUCUGGAUGCUACUUUAUUGCUGGCUAUGGACAGCAGAUAGGUUGGCCAGCCUAAGAAGAGCCAGGCCUGAAAUAAAACCUGGCAUAGGUCAUUGCUCUGCAGGCAGUGGGCACUGCAGGGUGCCAGGCCACUUUUGCCAGCUGCUUUUCCCAUUUCACUUCUGCUUUUGUAGCUCCAUGCAGCACUAGCUGCUGGCUGGCCAGCCUCCUAGAGACAAAGGCAUCAUUAGUCCUGAGAACUCUUUUGUUGCUGCCAGGCAUUGCCUUCACAAAAAGCUACUUGAAGGCAAGGUGUUUUCCGAGUGGCAGGAGUUGCUAUUUGAAAGACCCUGUUCUCUGCUACUGCUGGAUAAAUUUAUGUAUGGGGAUCAAAGCUUAAUGAUGAUGUUGUGUUUUGUACACUUGGUUUUAUUAGCCCCUCUGCCAUACCUCAAAUGGCUAUACCCAUAAGUGGGUGCUCAGGCUUC
rnacentral:lncRNA from 1 species